rnacentral:rRNA from 1 species
CCAAGACAACUUUACGGAGUUGACGAUUGACGGAGCGAAGCGACGUCAAAGCGUUCAUUAAAGUCGAGUUGGCUUAGGGAUACGUUCGUUGGGUAGGGGAGCGUUCUGUAAGCCUGUGAAGGUGUGUCGUGAGGCAUGCUGGAGGUAUCAGAAGUGCGAAUGCUGACAUAAGUAACGAUAAAGCGGGUGAAAAGCCCGCUCGCCGGAAGACCAAGGGUUCCUGUCCAACGUUAAUCGGGGCAGGGUGAGUCGACCCCUAAGGCGAGGCCGAAAGGCGUAGUCGAUGGGAAACGGGUUAAUAUUCCCGUACUUGGUGUUACUGCGAAGGGGGGACGGAGAAGGCUAUGUUGGCCGGGCGACGGUUGUCCCGGUUUAAGCGUGUAGGUGUGUGUUCCAGGUAAAUCCGGUUCACUUUAACACUGAGGCGUGACGACGAGGCACUACGGUGCUGAAGCAACAAAUGCCCUGCUUCCAGGAAAAGCCUCUAAGCAUCAGGUAACACGAAAUCGUACCCCAAA